rfam:Caenorhabditis briggsae complete genome, chrX
GUAGGAUAUGGUGAUAUGACACCUCACACAUCAUUUGGAAGGCUGGUAGGAUCGCUUUGUGCCGUUAUGGGAGUCCUCACAAUUGCUCUCCCAGUUCCAGUGAGCUAUUUUGGGC